rnacentral:rRNA from 1 species
CGCGUAGGCGGCUGUCUAAGUCAGAUGUGAAAGCCCGCGGCUCAACCGUGGAAGUGCAUUUGAAACUGGGCAGCUUGAGUACUGGAGGGGGUAGUGGAAUUCCCGGUGUAGAGGUGAAAUUCGUAGAUAUCGGGAGGAAUACCGGUGGCGAAGGCGACUGCCUGGCCAGAUACUGACGCUGAGGUGCGAAAGCGUGGGGAGCAAACA